CAGUAGCCGCGGGAAUACGAAGGGGGCUAGCGUUGCUCGGAAUGACUGGGCGUAAAGGGCGCGUAGGCGGUUUGGCAAGUCUUGUGUGAAAUCUUCGGGCUCAACCCGAAGCCUGCACGAGAGACUACCGGGCUUGAGUAUUGGAGAGGUGAGUGGAAUUUCCGGUGUAGCGGUGAAAUGCGUAGAUAUCGGAAGGAACACCUGUGGCGAAAGCGGCUCACUGGACCAUUACUGACGCUGAGGCGCGAAAGCUAGGGGAGCAAACAGGAUUAGAUACCCGCGUAGUCCCUGUCUCUUAUAC
rnacentral:rRNA from 1 species